rnacentral:misc_RNA from 1 species
GAUGAAGAACGUAGCGAAAUGCGAUAAGUAAUGUGAAUUGCAGAAUUCAGUGAAUCAUCGAAUCUUUGAACGCACAUUGCGCCCGCCAGUAUUCUGGCGGGCAUGCCUGUUCGAGCGUCAUUUCAACCAUCAAGCCCCGGGCUUGUGUUGGGGACCUGCGGCUGCCGCAGGCCCUGAAAUGCAGUGGCGGGCUCGCUGUCACUCCGAGCGUAGUAGUUACAUCUCGCUCUGGGCGUGCUGCGGAUUCCGGCCGUUAAAAGCCUUAUUUACCCAAGGUUGACCUCGGAUCAGGUAGGAAGACCCGCUGAACUUAAGCAUAUCAAAGCGGAGGA